UGGCCCUUAUGGGUAGGGCUUCACACGUCAUACAAUGGUCGGUACAGAGGGUUGCCAACCCGCGAGGGGGAGCUAAUCCCACAAAGCCGAUCGUAGUCCGGAUCGCAGUCUGCAACUCGACUGCGUGAAGUCGGAAUCGCUAGUAAUCGUGGAUCAGCAUGUCACGGUGAAUACGUUCCCGGGUCUU
rnacentral:rRNA from 1 species